GAUGAACGCUGGCGGCGUGCCUAAUACAUGCAAGUCGAGCGAACAGACGAGGAGCUUGCUCCUCUGACGUUAGCGGCGGACGGGUGAGUAACACGUGGAUAACCUACCUAUAAGACUGGGAUAACUUCGGGAAACCGGAGCUAAUACCGGAUAAUAUAUUGAACCGCAUGGUUCAAUAGUGAAAGACGGUUUUGCUGUCACUUAUAGAUGGAUCCGCGCCGCAUUAGCUAGUUGGUAAGGUAACGGCUUACCAAGGCAACGAUGCGUAGCCGACCUGAGAGGUGAACCGGCCACACGGAAACGGGACACGGGCCCGACCCCCCAGGGGGGGAGGAGUGGGGAAUAUUGCACAAAGGGGGCAAGCCUGGACGAGGCAACGCGCGGGGGUGAAGAAGGGUCUUGGGUUGGAAAACCCCUUUUUUGGGGAAAAAAAAAAGGGGGAAAAAACUACGCUGUUCUUACGGGAACCAAAGAAGAAGCCCCGGCUUAAUUCGGG
rnacentral:rRNA from 1 species